rnacentral:rRNA from 1 species
GAUGAACGCUGGCGGCGUGCUUAACACAUGCAAGUCGAACGGAAAGGCCCUGCUUUUGUGGGGUGCUCGAGUGGCGAACGGGUGAGUAAAACGUGAGUAAACUGUCCUUGACUUUGGGAUAAAUUCAGGAAACUGGGGCUAUUACCGGAUAGGAGCUCCUGAUGCAUGGUGGGGGUUGGAAAGUUUCGGCGGUUGGGGAUGGACUCGCGGCUUAUCAGCUUGUUGGUGGGGUAGUGGCUUACCAAGGCUUUGACGGGUAGCCGGCCUGAGAGGGUGACCAGCCACAUGGGGACUGAGGGACGGCCCAGACUCCUACGGGAGGCAGCAGUGGAGAAUAUUGCACAAUGGGCGGAAGCCUGAUACAACAGCCCCGCGUGCGUGAUGACGUCCUUCGAGUUGUAAACCGCUUUCUCCUGUGACGAAGCGUGAUUGACGGUAAUGGGUAAAGAAGCACCGGCUAACUACGUG